rnacentral:rRNA from 1 species
UACGUAGGUGGCAAGCGUUAUCCGGAUUUAUUGGGCGUAAAGGGAACGCAGGCGGUCUUUUAAGUCUGAUGUGAAAGCCUUCGGCUUAACCGGAGUAGUGCAUUGGAAACUGGGAGACUUGAGUGCAGAAGAGGAGAGUGGAACUCCAUGUGUAGCGGUGAAAUGCGUAGAUAUAUGGAAGAACACCAGUGGCGAAAGCGGCUCUCUGGUCUGUAACUGACGCUGAGGGUCGAAAGCGUGGGUAGCAAACGGG